GAACGCUGCAAAGCUGCAGAAUUGAGAUUUGUGUAUGCUGGACUGAGAUUGUGAUCAACUUUACCUAAUUUCCUAUGUUAAUUGAAAUUGAGCUGUUAUUGAACUAUGUAGUCUUUUCACCUAGGCCGUUGAACUCCAUUGAAACCAACUCCACUUUUGCAUGUUGACAAGGUACAUUUGCUGAAAUUGUGGUGAUCGUUAAUGGAGAUGUAUAUUAUCUAAAAGAUGUGCUAGACUAAGAUAUGAUUGGCUGAACAAGCAUAAUUUAUGAGAGUGAAA